UACGUAGGGGGGCAAGCGUUUGUCCGGAAUCAUUGGGCGUAAAGCGCGCGUAGGCGGCCCCGGUAAGUCCGCUGUAAAAAGUUCCAAGGGCUCAACCCUGGGAAAGCCGGUGGAUACUGUCGGGCUAGAGUCCGGAAGAGGCGAGUGGAAUUCCUGGUGUAGCGGUGAAAUGCGCAGAUAUCAGGAGGAACACCUGUGGUGUAGACAGCUUACUGGACCACUUCUGACGCUGAGACACGAAAGCGUGGG
rnacentral:rRNA from 1 species